rnacentral:tRNA from 1 species
GGGCCCGUAGUCUAGCCUGGUUAGGAUGUCCAGGGCACAAGUCCGCAGAAGCCUUACGAGCGGGAGGUCCCGUCAGGCCCUGCCUGGCUUGGCUGGGUAAGGCCUGGGAUAAGGUUCAAGUCCCGGCGGGCCCACCA